rnacentral:rRNA from 1 species
AUAUGGUAGGAGAGCGUUCUGUAAGCCUGCGAAGGUGUCUUGUAAAGGAUGCUGGAGGUAUCAGAAGUGCGAAUGCUGACAUGAGUAGCGAUAAUGGGAGUGAAAAGCUCCCACGCCGUAAGCCCAAGGUUUCCUGUUCAACGUUCAUCGGAGCAGGGUGAGUCGGCCCCUAAGGCGAGGCAGAGAUGCGUAGCUGAUGGGAAGCAGGUUAAUAUUCCUGCACCGUCGUAUGAUGCGAUGGGGGGACGGAUCGCGGAAGGUUGUCCAACGGUUGGAAGUGUUGGUUUUUGACUCAUAGAAGGCGCUUAGGCAAAUCCGGGCGCGGAAUUCAAGGGGUCGAGACGAGAGACUUAGGUCUUGAAGCAAUCGGAAGUGGUUCCAAGAAAAGCCUCUAAGCUUCAGUCAUACGAGACCGUACCGCAAACCGACACAGGUGGGCGAGAUGAGUAUUCUAAGGCGCUUGAGAGAACUCGGGAGAAGGAACUCGGCAAAUUGGUACCGUAACUUCGGGAAAAGGUACGCCCCGGUAGCUUGAUUGGUUUACUCCAUGAGGGUGAAAGGGUUGCAAUAAACUGGUGGCUGCGACUGUUUAAUAAAAACACAGCACUCUGCAAACACGAAAGUGGACGUAUAGGGUGUGACGCCUGCCCGGUGCUGGAAGAUUAAAUGAUGGGGUGCAAGCUCUUGAUUGAAGUCCCAGUAAACGGCGGCCGUAACUAUAACGGUCCUAAGGUAGCGAAAUUCCUUGUCGGGUAAGUUCCGACCUGCACGAAUGGCGUAACGAUGGCCACACUGUCUCCUCCCGAGACUCAGCGAAGUUGAAAUGUUUGUGAUGAUGCAAUCUACCCGCGGCUAGACGGAAAGACCCCAUGAACCUUUACUGUAGCUUUGCAUUGGACUUUGAACCAAUCUGUGUAGGAUAGGUGGGAGGCUUUGAAGCGGUGACGCCAGUCAUCGUGGAGCCAUCCUUGAAAUACCACCCUGGUUUGUUUGAGGUUCUAACCUUGGUCCGUUAUCCGGAUCGGGGACAGUGCAUGGUAGGCAGUUUGACUGGGGCGGUCUCCUCCUAAAGUGUAACGGAGGAGUUCGAAGGUACGCUAGAUACGGUCGGACAUCGUGUUGAUAGUGCAAUGGCAUAAGCGUGCUUAACUGCGAGACUGACAAGUCGAGCAGGUACGAAAGUAGGACAUAGUGAUCCGGUGGUUCUGUAUGGAAGGGCCAUCGCUCAACGGAUAAAAGGUACUCUGGGGAUAACAGGCUGAUUCCUCCCAAGAGUUCAUAUCGACGGGGGAGUUUGGCACCUCGAUGUCGGCUCAUCACAUCCUGGGGCUGUAGCCGGUCCCAAGGGUAUGGCUGUUCGCCAUUUAAAGUGGUACGUGAGCUGGGUUUAAAACGUCGUGAGACAGUUUGGUCCCUAUCUGCCGUGGGCGUUGGAAAUUUGAAGGGGGCUGCUCCUAGUACGAGAGGACCGGAGUGGACAGACCUCUGGUGUACCGGUUGUCACGCCAGUGGCAUUGCCGGGUAGCUAAGUCUGGAAGAGAUAACCGCUGAAAGCAUCUAAGCGGGAAACUUGCCUUGAGAUGAGAUUUCCCAGAGCCUUGAGCUCUUUAAAGGGUCGUUCGAGACCAGGACGUUGAUAGGUCAGGUGUGGAAGUGCAGUAAUGCAUUAAGCUAACUGAUACUAAUUGCCCGUACGGCUUGUCCCUAUAACCUUAGCAGGU